rnacentral:rRNA from 1 species
CCCUUAGAUGUCCUGGGCCGCACGCGCGUUACACUGAUACAUUCAACGAGCCUAUAACCUUGGCCGAGAGGCCUGGGCAAUCUUGUUAACGUGCAUCGUGAUAGGGAUAGAUUAUUGAAAUUAUUAAUCUUGAACGAGGAAUUCCUAGUAAACGCAGAUCAUCAAUCUGCAUUGAUUACGUCCCUGCCCUUUGUACACACCGCCCGUCGCACCUACCGAUUGGAUGGUCCGGUGAAGCCUCGGGAUUGUGGUUCUUGCCGCUUUAUUGUGGCGUGACCGCGAGAACUUGUCUAAACCUUAUCAUCUAGAGGAAGGUGAAGUCGUAACA